GGGCGAUUAGCUCAGUUGGUUCAGAGCAUCUGGUUUACACCCAGAGGGUCGGCGGUUCGAAUCCGUCAUCGCCCA
rnacentral:tRNA from 1 species